AAACGUUUGGCAAAGCAAUCCAAAGCAGCAACAGCCGAAAUCUGCGCCAACACAAUCGUUUUCGCUCUCAACGAUACUCGCCAAUUGCUCUUUCAGCCCAGCUGUUCGUUCGUUACCAUCGACAACGAGACUUAAACGCCAGCUCACGAUGACGACGCUGGCAGCGCAGUCGACGGUGGUCGAACGAAGCAAAUGCACACAUGCGUAUGUAUGAUAAUAUGUGCAUACAUAUUCGAAUUGCAGCAACAAGCAGCAGUGCAUCACAGGAAAAUGGCCGAUUGGCGUUGGGUGUGAAUGCAAUUGCAUUUCGGGUGUACUUGUGCAUCACCCAAAGUGUUGGAAUCGUGUCAGGAAGGGCGCACCCUUAUUUUCAACCCCCGCCACGCCACCACGCCGCAAUUAAUCAAAUUAUCACAAAUUUUUUUUUUUUUU